CAACCGAAAACGUGGUAUAAUAUUUAAGCUUGUCUUUGGGAAAGUCCAGUGCAAUUCUGGUACUGUGCCGCAGCUGUAAUCAAGUAAAAAGUAAAAAGAGUACAUCUUCCCUUUUUCCUUGCGAGUCAGAAUGCCAAUUACAAGUUUUUAAUCGGU
rnacentral:ncRNA from 2 species